rnacentral:rRNA from 1 species
UACGAAAGGUGAUAGCGUUGUGCGGAAUCACUGGGCGUAAAGCGCACGCAGGCGGAUCGAUAAGUCGGGGGUUAAAGCCCGGGGCUCAACCUCGGAAUUGCCUUCGAUACUGUCGGUCUCGAGUCCGGGAGAGGUGAGUGGAAUUCCUAGUGUAGAGGUGAAAUUCGUAGAUAUUAGGAAGAACACCAGUGGCGAAGGCGGCUCACUGGUCCGGUACUGACGCUCUGGUGCGAAAGCGUGGGGAGCAAACAGG